GCACGGGAAGGGCAGCGCGGGCAGGGGAAGCGCGCCUCACCUCUCACGGAGCUCAGAUCCGUGUGAACGCCCUCCUGCCGCGGGCAGGGACACCUCCCACCGCAGAACGUGCUGAGCUGGACAUGAACCGCGAGCAUCAGGGACACCGACACCUGGGUAUCCCCAAGGAUCACGCCUGGGAGUGCUGUCCUAACCCUGCGCCAAGCACUAAAGCCUGCAGCAAAUGAUUGUAGCAGAGGGGAAGGGCACUCGCCCACACCACGAGAAGGAGUGAGAUGGAGUUUCAAACCUUUUCCUGAGCAAUUCCUCACUGGGAUCCACUUUGCUACCACCAGAUGUUAACAGGACAUAUUUCAGGAGAUCAGAGAGCUGGAAAAAGGAACUUGCUUUUAUUCAGAGCUGCACCUAAUGGCAGAUAUAUGGCCUUGGGUAUGCAGAAGGUUUGUGGACACCUCGAAUACCGCAGCAGUUACAAGGCAGUAGUUUCUAAGAAACACCUGAGGUGUUUUCUUGGUUUUCAAAGGAGGAACCAUAAUAAAAGCAAAUAAUAAUUCUUACAUCUGAGUUGUAGAUCUUCUUUAAAUGCUCUGGAGGGGCACUGUACAGGAAUCCUGACUGAAUCAGUGUCACUGCUUCACCCAGCCCACUCUUGCAGGACCGACCCUCCUUCAUCUCCUGCUACUGCUGUCCACAGCUCCUGACAAUGUACACAGGAAUUCCCACAUGGACUCUUCCAAAUAAACCUUUGUGGGCCUUAUUCACACCUGCCUUUGGAGCCUUCAGCAAGGAAAUUCUGCUGAAUGCUCUCCUCAAAUGUCAAAUAUUCGUAUUAUAAUACCUAUGUAUUCUCAAAGAAAUCCAGCACACAUUUGGAAACCGCCCUCUGAUAAUGCCUGGGGUGUUCUUUUUAUAGCUUACUUAAAUUACACAAGUAGAAAAGUUAUGCUUAUUAAUAGUUUAAUGUAUGAAGGAAACAUCCAGAUUUCUGAAUAUGAAGGUACAUAUCUCACAUUAAUUUAAGUCUACAUAAAGUAGAGCCUCUAUAACUGACAUAUUGAAAUUUACUUUCUGCUUAGCCAUUUGUUAUGUAAACAAUUGUACAUUUAUUUGCCAUUCUAAAACUUCAGGAUCAAGUUUACAUAAUUUUGCUAAAUUUCUGUGUUUGCUCAGAAGCAGUUUACAGUACUAAAACCAACCAGCCAAAGAACAGCUUCAACAGAAAGUUAUGUCAAAAAAAAAAAAAAAAAAAAAAAAAAAAAAAAGGAAAAAAAAAAGAAAAAAACAAAAAGAAGAGGAGGAAAGGAAAGAAGAAAGUCUAACUAAGUUGAAACAUAUGAUGGUGGGGAAUGGGUGGUCACAAUGUUCACAGAAAAAGG